AUGUUAGGUCAUGUGUUGUUGAUUUAUCUAAAACCCCAUUACCAGAUGUUAGGUCAUGUGUUGUUGAUUUAUCUAAAACCCCAUUACCAGAUGUUUGGUCAUGUGUUGUUGAUUUAUCUAAAACCCCAUUACCAGAUGUUAGGUCAUGUGUUGUUGAUUUAUCUAAAACCCCAUUACCAUGUGUUGUUG